AAUUAGGAGGUUUUUCUAAAAAACUUAAGUCCUAGUUGGACGUUGGUGGUUGGCAGUUGGUUGUUGCAUAGCGGCGAACGAGUUAGUAAUACCUUGGAAUCUACCCCGAAGACGGGAAUAAUCCGCCGAAAGGCGGACUAAUACCCGAUAGUCCCAAAUCCGCAAGGAUUUGGGUAAAGGCGCAAGACACUUCGGGAGGAGCCUCGGUCCUAUCAGCUAGUUGGCGGGGUAAUGGCCCACCAAGGCGAUGACGGGUAGGGGGCGUGAGAGCGCGUUCCCCAACGACACUACUGAGAUACGGAGUGUACACCUACGGGUGGCCGCAGUCGAGAAUAUUCGACAAUGGGCGAAAGCCUGAUCGAGCGACGCCGCGUGCAGGAUGAAGGCCUUCGGGUCGUAAACUGCUUUUAACUGGGAACAAUCGAGCACCUUUCGGUUUUUGUAUUUUUGUGAUACUCAAAUAUUAUGUAUUACGUCUAUGUUAUAUUGGGACAAAAUAACAAGAUUUAUGUUGGAUAUACUUCUGAUCUUCGGGAACGAAUGAGAAGUCAUAAUGCUGUAGAAAAUGAGUAUAAGAUUAUUUCAUAGUUUGCAAGAGAUACGAAAUUCGAAAGGUGCUCGAUGAGCGUACCAGUAGAAUAAGGAGCUGCAAACUUCGUGCCAGCAGCCGCGGUAAUACGAAGGCUCCAAGCGUUAUCCGGAUUUAUUGGGCGUAAAGGGUCUCCAGGCGGUUUUGUUAGUCCGCUGUUAAAUCUCGACGCUUAACGUCGAGGCCGCAGUGGAAACGGCAAAACUAGAGGCGGGUAGAGGCAUAUGGAACUCACGGUGUAGGGGUGAAAUCCGUUGAUAUCGUGGGGAACACCAAAGGCGAAGGCAAUAUGCUGGGCCUGUCCUGACGCUCAUGAGACGAAAGCGUGGGGAGCGAAUAGGAUUGACAGAAUGCUCGCAAUUGUGCCAAAGAUUUUUCCAGCUGCGGUUUGGACAAAACUUCCUCG
rnacentral:ncRNA from 1 species